rnacentral:rRNA from 1 species
ACGGGUGCGUAACACGUGGAUACAUUCCGGGAAGCGGGGGAUAGCCCAGGGAAACUUGGAUUAAUACCGCAUGUGGUCGAAAGACUAAAGACGGGGACCGCAAGGCCUGUCACUUCCCGAUUGGUCCGCGGCCUAUCAGCUAGUUGGCGGGGUAAAAGCCCACCAAGGCUACGACGGGUAGCUGGUCUUAGAGGACGACCAGCCACACUGGAACUGAGACACGGUCCAGACACCUACGGGUGGCAGCAGUCGAGAAUCUUUCACAAUGGGGGCAACCCUGAUGGAGCGACGCCGCGUGGAGGAUAAGGUCUUCGGAUUGUAAACUCCUGUCAUGCGCGAACAAGGUUGCAGAGUUAAUAACUGUGCAAAUUGAUGGUAGCGCAAGAGGAAGAGACGGCUAACUCUGUGCCAGCAGCCGCGGUAAUACAGAGGUCUCAAGCGUUGUUCGGAAUCACUGGGCGUAAAGGGUGCGUAGGUGGCAUGGUAAGUCAGAUGUGAAAGCCUGGGGCUCAACCUCAGAAUUGCAUCCGAUACUGCUGUGCUAGAGUACUGGAGGGGUGACUAGAAUUCUCGGUGUAGC